rnacentral:sRNA from 1 species
AUUUGAUAACUUGACAUGUACCUGUAAUUGCAAGAACUUGACCAACAUCCUCAGACGAGAAAUUUAGUCCGCCAAAUUGUUUGUCACUUUCAGACCAUAGAGAAAAUAUCUAAAAUUUGAUUUCAAUUAUCAUCAAAGGAGACAAUGCAGAAGAGAACAAUAGAUGACAUUAAUGGCCAAUUCUUAAAUAAGCUCUUAUCUUUAGCUGGACCAGUGUGUUGCUUGACAAACUCUUCGAAGUCAACCAAAUAAUAAAAUUGGCUAGUUGUGCACUUACCGGGAGCCAAAUGCAACUUAUAAGAAUAACGAAGCAGAAGAUCGAUAUACAUAAACAAGGUAGAAAAUAUGGGAACCUAAGGAAAGAUUUUCAAGAAUCAGUCAUUUAAGGAUAGGAUACCUGUGCAAGAUAUCCACUGAUAGCUGGCCCAACAAUGAGACCUAUUGCCCAUGAUGUGCUAACCUAAUCAUAUAAAAAGAGUGUCAUAAUCUAAAGUGCAAUAUAACUAUAGUAAAAAAUAUUAUAGAACUUUGUAGUAUACCAAUGACAACCCAAUGGAUUGAUGCUCUGGUCAACAAACUUCAACGGCAUAAGCCUGUAAAGCCCGGUUGCAGUAUGCUAGCUAGUUAUAGUAUUUCAAUAGUGGAUAGAAAAUAUGAAUUUAGAUAAUUUAAUCACCGUACUCUUAUUGGUCCAAGUAAGCCAUUCAAUGAACCUAAAAGAAAUCGUGUAGUUAUCGCCAUCCAAUAGUGUGUACUUAGUCCAAAGAGAGUAUUGAAUACAAAUCUGAUUUCACAACACAAGGUAAAGCUUCCUCCCAAUACGAUCUGCUACCAUCCCCCAAGCAGUGGAAGUUAAAGCUCUACCAAACAUAUAUGACGCACCUAAUAGGUUGAGAAUUAUAAU